UGAAGUAUUCACCCGUCUAUAAAAUUAACUUGAUCUCGCCAAAAAUUUAUCAGUGAUAACUUCGCCGUGACAGUCAACCCAUCCUGAGCAAAAAGAAACUUACUUUUAAAAGAAAGAUUCCCGACACCAUGAAGACGACUACCCUGCUUCUUGUCAUUCUUGUUGUCGUCACAACUGUUGCAUACGGUCAACUAAUUGGCUUCUGCGGACGGAUGGAGUGGGCCUGUAACCGUGACGAAGGCUACAACGUGGAAUGCACUGAAUUGCCCUACCUGGCAACUUGCCGCGAAUCUGACACUAACACUAACACUACUUUUUUCUACAGCAUGUGCACCAACUAUUUUCACUGUGUUUAUGACAACGUCUUGGGUCUCCGCACUUGCACAUGCGUGUUAUAGUAAAGUUACAGAAGUUACAGUUGAAUAUUUAUCAUGGUUAAAGACUUUCAUGUUAAAUUAAAAAAUAAAUAAAUGUGAAUUGUUAUACACA